rnacentral:lncRNA from 1 species
UCCUCUUCAACCAGCAGCGAUUCCGACGGCCAUCACCAAGUUCCCCAGCAAAGCAUCAUCCUUCCACCUAGCAGUACCAUUGCUGCCGUAGCUGAUGCCUUGGAGAAGAAUGCUCAUAACUGGUACAGUACAUACAUGAAGCUAAGAGUCAGUUAGAUGACAACCAACCAAGUAGUAACACUACCAAACUUAAAAAAAAAGCUCCCUUUUUUACUGUUUCUACAUAGCUCAUUCAUUACUAUUGUGUCUAUUUUCUUAAUGAUCCAAAACUGUGCAGGCCUAUAACUCCCCAACUCCCAACAGAUCUAUCAGUUCAAGUCCAAGAUGCUACUUUCACUGUUCACAAGGUACCAGUUUCCUUUUCAAACUAUAAAAGUUAGCAACACAUCACAGGCUAUGUAUUCAUCAUAACCCAGGAUCUGUACAUCACAUUUCCUGCGAUCAUAUAACUAGGAUCAAUACUUGGAUCAUGAAAGGGUGGAUGUCGGUCCGGUUAAGGUAAACCGUGACCAGGUUUUGAACAGAUUAACCAAAUUUAGGGACAGGUUAUUUAGCAUUUAUCCUCCUGCAUGGCUUAGCAUAUUAGACCGUGAAUCAAAAUGAAUGACUUGAGCAAUCUUUGGUCUGCUACAGUUACCUUUGGUGUCGAAAUGCGGCUACAUAGCACAUUUGGAACUCCAGCCUUCAAUUUCAAACUUCGGCUAUGAAGUGAAGCUGGAAAACUUCCCAGGAGGAUCAGAGACAUUCGAAGCCGUCUUGAGAUUCUGCUACGGCCUCCCUCUAGAUUUAAACCCUCAGAACAUAGUUCCACUAAGAUGCGCAUCAGAGUACCUGGAGAUGAGUGAAGAUCUUGAAGAUGGAAACCUCAUCACAAAGACAGAAGCUUUCCUCACAUUUGUCAUUCUCUCUUCAUGGAAAGACACAAUCACUGUCCUUCAAUCCUGCGAAACGUUAUCCCCGUGGGCGGAGAAUCUUCAAAUCGUCAGAAGAUGCUGCGACUCCAUUACUUGGAAGGCUUCAAGAGAAAAUGAUGCAGCUAGUGAUCAAGAUUCAGCGUGGUGGCUGGAUGAUGUUGCCACCCUGCAUAUCAACCAUUUCGCGAGGAUUAUAACAGCGAUAAGGGCGAAAGGAACGAAACCGGAAAUUGUUGGAAAGUGUAUAAUGCAGUAUGCAUCGAAAUGGUUGUCCGGGGUGGAUGAGGAACUAAAGGAACUAAGAGGCUAUGUCGGGCAGGGCAAGGGUGAGUUGCAGUUCAGUGUCUUGAGUGGGAGAAAAAAGGAAGAUGAGUAUGUUGGACACAAGGAGCAGCAGACGACCAUUAUUGAGAACCUAAUAAGCUUGUUGCCUCCUCAACAAGAAGCUGUGCCAUGCAGGUUCCUGUUGCAGAUGUUGAAUAUGGCCACUGUUUAUUCUGCAUCGCCGGCUUUGAUCACACAGCUAGAGAAGAGAGUAGGAAUUAUACUAGACAAGGCAACGGUGAACGAUCUUUUGAUCCCUAAUUACACAACUACAGAUCAAGGGAAGCUACUAAAGUAUGUAAACCCACUGUUUUUCUCUGUUCUCUAGAUUCCUAGUUGAUUGCAUUGUACAGGCUCCCUAAUUGACAUUACUUUUGGUAACAGGUCACCUGACCAAAGCACCAUGCACGAUAUAGACACGGUACAAAGAAUUGUGGAGUAUUUUUUAAUGCAUGAACAGGAUCAGCAACAAAUGCAAUCAAUACCAGGGAAGGCCAGUGUUAGUAAGCUUCUGGACAAUUAUCUAGCUGAAAUUGCUAAGGAUCCAAAUGUAUCUGUGACCAAAUUUCAUGUUUUGGCCGAAGCACUUCCAGAAAGUUCUAGAACUUGUCAUGAUGGCCUAUACAGGGCCAUUGACAUCUAUCUCAAGGUUACCUUUCUUUUACUCCAAUCUUCCAAUUUCUUAUAGUUGGAACAAAAAAGAUUCAAGCACUAAAGGACAUUUUAUCUUAUUCGACAGACUCAUCCUUCGCUAUCAGAACAUGAUCGGAAAAGGGUUUGCAGAUUAAUGAACUGUGAGAAACUAUCCCUAGAUGCGUGCAUGCACGCAGCACAAAAUGAUAGGCUGCCAGUAAGAACUGUAAUUCAGGUAAGAGAAUUUUCCUAGUUGCAUUGGUUGGGAAGUAAAUUUCUCAGCAAAUUAACAGAAGGCAGCUCUUGCAGGUGUUGUUUACUGAGCAGGUGAAAUUGAGGGCAGCAAUGCAGAGAAAAGAUACACCAGAGAGUGGCAAUAUUUCGGAACAGGAGGUAGUACACCAAACAGAAACAAAAUCAGAGAUCAUGAUGCUUAAAGCGGAGUUGGAGAAUGUAAAGACAAGGAUGGCAGAGCUGCAAAAAGACUACUUGGAAUUGCAGCAUGAGUAUGCCAAGUUAAACAACAAGCACAAACAUACAUUAGCUUGGGGUUGGAAGAAGAUUAGGACAUCCACUCUCUUCCACCGAAAAGCUGACGAGAUUGAAAUAGAAGAAGGAAGGCAAAGAUCCAAUUCCACAAGCCAAAAAGUCAAGUCCGGAAAAGUCAAUGGGGUCGAAAUUGAGGAAGGAAGGCAAAGAUCCAAUUCUACAAGUCAAAAACUCAACUCGAGAAGAAGAAUGUCCGUAUAAUAGAAAUUGGACAGCAACAUGUCAAACGAGCAGAAUGAUUCUACUACCAGAUUCUGUAUAGUUAGUUAUUGUAUGAUGUCGGUAAUGGCUGUAUCUUCUUUUUCAGGAGAAUAAUAUGACCAGUAUAGUGGUUUGAUUAUAGUGCUAGAGAAAUCACAAACUAUGACCAGAAUCCGUAGGUGACACAACAAAUAGAUGUAUAAUUAGAAAGAACCCAAAUUCAACAGGAGGUGAAAUGCAGAAGCAAACACCACAAAUAGCUCAAGCUAAUCUAUUAGAAAACCACCAGAAAUUCAAAUUUGUCUUUUCACCGUAACCAAGUACCAUGGAAAUGAACAUUCUACAAUGAAAACCUAAGUUUAAUCUAUCAAGAGAAGUGCAGAAAACCAUCAACAGUAGGGAAGUACUUGAAACUAACCUUCAAGGCACCGGCUUUCUUCUUCAAGGCGCCGGCUUUCUCUCUUCGCUGGAAGCCGAAGCUAUCAAUUUUCGACAUUUGUGAUUGGGAUUCGUUAUUAUUGAGAAACGCCG